UACGUAUGGGGCAAGCGUUGUCCGGAUUUAUUGGGCGUAAAGAGCGUGUAGGCGGCCACACAGGUCAGCUGUGAAAACUCGAGGCUCAACCUCGAGACGUCGGUUGAAACCGUAUGGCUAGAGUCCGGAAGAGGAGAGUGGAAUUCCCGGUGUAGCGGUGAAAUGCGCAGAUAUCGGGAAGAACACCCGUGGCGAAGGCGGCUCUCUGGGACGGUACUGACGCUGAGACGCGAAAGCGUGGGGAGCAAACAGG
rnacentral:rRNA from 1 species